rnacentral:rRNA from 1 species
CCCAGACUCCUACGGGAGGCAGCAGUGGGGAAUAUUGGGCAAUGGAGGAAACUCUUACCCAGCAAUGCCGCGUGAGUGAAGAAGGUCUUCGGAUUGUAAAGCUCUUUGAUUGGGGAUGAAUAAAUGACGGUACCCAAAGAACAAGCCCUGGCUAACUACGUGCCAGCAGCCGCGGUAAUACGGAGGGUGCGAGCGUUAAUCGGAAUUACUGGGCGUAAAGCGCUCGUAGGCGGUAUGUCAAGUCAAGGGUGAAAUCCCCGCGCUCAACGUGGGAACUGCCUUUGAAACUGGCAAACUGGAGUGUGUGAGAGGAUAGUGGAAUUCCAGGUGUAGGAGUGAAAUCCGUAGAUAUCUGGAGGAACAUCAGUGGCGAAGGCGACUAUCUGGCACAUAACUGACGCUGAGGAGCGAAAGCGUGGGUAGCAAACAGGAUUAGAUACCCUAGUA